rnacentral:rRNA from 1 species
AUUGAACGCUGGCGGCAGGCCUAACACAUGCAAGUCGAACGAGUGGCGGCCGGGUGAGUAAUGUCUGGGAAUCUGCCCGAUGGAGGGGGAUAACUACUGGAAACGGUAGCUAAUACCGCAUACCCUCGGAUGUGCCCAGAUGGGAUUAGCUAGUAGGGUGGGUAACGGCUCACCUGGGCGACGAUCCCUCGCUGGUCUGAGAGGAUGACCAUGCACACUGGAGCUGUGGCACGGUCCAGACGGCUACGGGAGACAGCAGUGGGGAAUAUUGCACGAUGGGCGCGAGCCUGAUGGAGGCAGGGCGCGUGGAUGAAGAAGGCCUGCGGGUUGUAAAGUACUUGCAGCGAGGAGGCGUUACUCGCAGAAGAAGCACCGGCUAACUCCGUGCCAGCAGCCGCGGUAAUAC